rnacentral:rRNA from 1 species
GGCGUGCCUAAUACAUGCAAGUCGAACGCACAGCGAAAGGUGCUUGCACCUUUCAAGUGAGUGGCGAACGGGUGAGUAACACGUGGACAACCUGCCUCAAGGCUGGGGAUAACAUUUGGAAACAGAUGCUAAUACCGAAUAAAACUUAGUGUCGCAUGACACAAAGUUAAAAGGCGCUUCGGCGUCACCUAGAGAUGGAUCCGCGGUGCAUUAGUUAGUUGGUGGGGUAAAGGCCUACCAAGACAAUGAUGCAUAGCCGAGUUGAGAGACUGAUCGGCCACAUUGGGACUGAGACACGGCCCAAACUCCUACGGGAGGCUGCAGUAGGGAAUCUUCCACAAUGGGCGAAAGCCUGAUGGAGCAACGCCGCGUGUGUGAUGAAGGCUUUCGGGUCGUAAAGCACUGUUGUAUGGGAAGAACAGCUAGAAUAGGAAAUGAUUUUAGUUUGACGGUACCAUACCAGAAAGGGACGGCUAAAUACGUGCCAGCAGCCGCGGUAAUACGUAUGUCCCGAGCGUUAUCCGGAUUUAUUGGGCGUAAAGCGAGCGCAGACGGUUUAUUAAGUCUGAUGUGAAAGCCCGGAGCUCAACUCCGGAAUGGCAUUGGAAACUGGUUAACUUGAGUGCAGUAGAGGUAAGUGGAACUCCAUGUGUAGCGGUGGAAUGCGUAGAUAUAUGGAAGAACACCAGUGGCGAAGGCGGCUUACUGGACUGCAACUGACGUUGAGGCUC